rnacentral:lncRNA from 1 species
GGCACCUUUUCCACAAUGGAUUUGCUCUGCAUUCCCCUACACAGCUCCCACUCGACACAACAACCAAGGCACUUGAAAAAAACGGUUACUUGGAUCAACACCACCAUAUGUUCAUUUCCCAACAGCCGACUUUUUCCAUUCAACCAUUCCGACAGGACUAACUUCACGUCUGCAACCUCAUGCAUAGCUUCCAUAAACUGCCACCAACCCGUCGUUUUUCCCCCUUCUGGAAUGAACAAUGUAUUGGCUUUUCCACUUGAUCCAUCUUGACCUUCCGAGAGAACCAGGAAUUUUUCUCGAGGAUUACCAUUCAGCGCCAUCCAUAACGACCUCCAACUACUCCUCCGAUAACGGCUCCAUCCCCCCUCAGAUUUCUCCCAUCAAAACUCCCUGAAACAUUUAAGGAGCCCGGACACAUCUUCCGUCUAGUAGAAGAUAGAUUUUCAGUAUCCCCUUCCAUUUUCAAAAACACGGACCCCUCAUCCCUCCUCCACCACAUCAAAGGAUUUGUGUUCAAUAACAAGAAAUUUAUGUCGGCCCACUGGCAUGGUCAGCCAGGGGUCUAUCGUCCCAGGACAACCUACCUAGUGAGAAUAUUCAAAACGAAAAUACUAGGAAGAGAAGGAGAGAGAGAGAGAGAGAGAGAGACAAUUAAAAUUUAUUGUAGCGCUUUGGCUAGAUGUUAGAAUUAAAUAGGGCUAUUUUGAGCACUUAAAACAAUCUUUUGGUCUUAAGGUUACAAUAAGAUCUAGAAGCAAAUUCAAUUCUUAGACAACACUAUGAUUUUAAGACUGAUUUGGUUUCAAAAGACUAGUUCUCAAGAAGAUCAUAAGAUUGCCAAGUUCUAGAACUACUUUGAAAUCCCAUAUUAUAUCGAAUCUCAUAACUGCUAUGAGAUCUCAUAAUCUCCUCAAUUACUAAAAUAGUGUAAAGUCUUUUAAAUUGCUUUGUGCCAACAUCAAUAGCAAGUUAUUAUGCAAACAUUUUUCUAGUACAAUAUCUUAAAAUAUUAAAUAUAGUUCUGGAUAUUUUUAUGAGGAUUUGUCUUGUACAGAAAAUGACAUGAUACUAUAAAUGAAUGAAUAUAGUUAUGAUAUUACUGUGUGGAGUUAUCUUGCACCAAAAUUAAUAUAAUACUACAGAUGAAUGCUACUUUUUUUUAUAUAUAAACUACAAAUGAAUGCUAUAAUCAUGAACCAAAGAGUAAAUAACACAUAAGUCCUUAUGUUUGAGCAUGGUUAGCAACCAGAUCCACAAGUUUUAGAAGUCACAACAUAGUCAUUGUAUAAGAAAUAUAAUUGCUAAGUCUAAUUUUUAACUUAUGUUGGAUGAUAAUUUAACAUAUCAUGACUAUCAAAUAAUUUAAAAAAUCAUAGUAAAUCACUUUAAAAAAUAAAAUUAUGGUUUUAAAUGAUAUCAUUGCUUUACCCUAAAAAUUUUUGCAACACAAAUCUAUUAUACUUUCUUUUUCUUUAAAUGUAAGGUUAAAGCAAUGAAAUGACUGAGUUGUUUUUUUUUUUUUAAGAAAUAAUAGAUGAAAUUGAAAUUGUAUCCAAAUAUCAAGUACCUUGAGAAGUUACCUUAAACCAAAUUAAAACAUAAUAACUAGCCACCACCAAAACCAAUCCACUGAUAUUGAAUAAUUUCCAAUCUAAUGUUCUGCUAGCAUUUUGAACAUUCAAUAGUCAACUGAAAACCAAGUUACACCACAUUAUACAAGUAGAUGAUUUCCUUACAUAAUGAAAAUGUUUUAGACUAAUGCUUCAAUUUCAUGAGAACUAUAAAGCUUAGGACAAGCUUUUCACAUUUCCAAAUCUCUAGUUUGCGUGCAGCUUAAACUUGAUAUGACCAAAGAAAUGCAAGUAGGGAAGGCAACAUAACAUGAUUAAACAAAAAGCAAAACUGACCAAGGCAUUCCCAUUCAACCCUGAUACAUGUGCAAUUCACUGUAAUAAGAGAAAGGUAAAGAGAAAAACCAGAAUUGAGAACACGAAUGUAGACAAAUCGUUUAUGCCCAUCCUUGUCAUUGCACGGUUUAUCCUUCUUUACGUGGAUUAGCUUGGGUUUUCAACAUCAGUAAUUUCCCUAAUUGAUCAAGGAGAAUUGACCUUUAACAGAAAAGAUAUUAGUUUAUAAAGGAAACUACGAUAUCAAGUCAAAGGCAACAUUGUUAUAUUGCUAAUUUGAAGAUUUUAAAUGGCAGUUUUAAGAACUUAAAAAAAUAAAAUGAACUAAUACAUCUAGACAGCUCCACCGCAAUUAAAUCCAUGAAAAAUUAUACAAAAUCUUUAGCCCCUAAAGAAAGUUUCUCUAGA